rnacentral:rRNA from 1 species
UACGGGGGGGGCAAGCGUUGUUCGGAAUUACUGGGCGUAAAGGGCUCGUAGGUGGCCAACUAAGUCAGACGUGAAAUCCCUCGGCUUAACCGGGGAACUGCGUCUGAUACUGGAUGGCUUGAGUUUGGGAGAGGGACGCGGAAUUCCUGGUGUAGCGGUGAAAUGCGCAGAUAUCAGGAGGAACACCAGUGGCGAAGGCGGUGCUCUGGGCCGGAACUGACGCUGAGGAGCGAAAGCGUGGGGAGCAAACAGG